rnacentral:misc_RNA from 1 species
UUCUUCCAGUGGCCUGAAGGCAAAAGUGUGAUUUUGAAUCGAAAAAAAAGGAAAAAUGAUUCUACCGGCGGUGUUUCUGUGCCUAAUUUCCGUCUCCCUGGCAUCGGACGAAGGAGCGUGCUACGUCACCAGUGAGAUGGAGGAUGAAUGCGGGUCGGUCUUCUACCCCAUCGUCAAGCCCCUUCUCAGAUACUUUGAGGUUUGCCAGACGAAGGAUCAGAAGAACGCAGAGCUACAGGACUCACUGGAUGAAACUAACCUCAAGUACUCAAAAUUGCUGGAGAAACAUGAAGAAGUUCAUGACAAGCUAAACGAAGAGAAUACUAAAUACCGUCAAUUACAAGAAAGCCAUACGGCAGCUCAGCGUGAAUAUCAUAAAGCGAAUCGUCAGAAUGCGAGGCUGCAGGGACAGAAUCAAAAGAAAGAUGUGGAGCUCCAAAGUCUUAGGGCACAAAUAGCUCAACAAGCUGCUCUAAUCACUCAGUUGAAGGAACAAACCUCUGAUCUUAAACAGAGCUGAAGGCAAGCUGAAGGAUCUUUUCAGCGAAGAGAUAGCAAAGUUGCGGGAAGUUGUGAAAAGUGGAAGUGGAACUGAACCCAAUGAGGCAGAAAAGAUUAAGACUAUUUCUUAUACUACUCAGUCGAAGUCAACCCAAGUUGAUCUUCCAGAUCGGUGUUCUUCAACACAAGAUGAACUUUUUGUCUACCCAGAAAUCCAUUUCCCAGGAUUGGAGCCUUUUCAAGUGACUUGCUUCUCAGGAGAAGAUGUUGGAUCUGGAUGGAUGGAUGCUUUUGAUAAAUAUUAUUUAUCAACGGGAUUUAAUCAAACAUAUGAUCAGUAUAUAAACGGAUUUGGAGAUGUGAAGCGGGAACACUUCAUUGGACUUGAAAAAUUACAUAUUUUAACGAGCCAGAAGCCGCAUGAGAUGUAUAUUACCUAUUUUACACCUCCUUCUGCAGUCUUUAGCAGAUUCUAUAGAAAUAUGCGAGUAAUAUGCGAGAACUUCGUUGUGGGCGACAGGAGCGAAGGUUACAGCCUGAAACAGAUUGACGGCUGUAGAGGAGACUUCAAUCUCACUUCCUACUUCAAUCUCACUCAGGGAACAAAGUUCACGACAUUCGAUCGCGAUCAAGAUGGAAAUCCGGAUCACAAUUGGGCACAGGAGUUGGGCUAUGGAUUCUGGUUUGGUUCUGAAAAGCCAAUGUGGGAUAGAAUGGCAUACUUAAAUUUAUUUAUCCGAAGGAAGGAUUGAAGAUCUCCCAAGCAACUUCCUUCAGAAGCGGCCUUUGGAAAUUUAAAAAUAAUGACUGGUAUUUGGAAAUUUACUAAUUUUAUGCAAUUUCAUAAACUAAACA